UCAAGCUCACUAUAGACGUAUUAGAAGUAUACAACCAAGAGAUUGUGCAGCAACUGGAACUGGACAGAUGAUCUGUGAAUUCGGAUGAGGUGGAGAAAACAGUAUUGUGGGAGCAUAUUUGUUUAAAGUACAUCACUGACAGAAAGUUACCAAGGCUUAAGGAGAGACUAUGGAUGCAGUUGAAGAUCAUCCCUGUGACUUUUCAUUAGAGGACUGA